rnacentral:rRNA from 1 species
CCUACGGGAGGCAGCAGUGAGGAAUAUUGGUCAAUGGGCGAGAGUCUGAACCAGCCAAGUCGCGUGAGGGAGUACUGCCCUCUGGGUUGUAAACCUCUUUUGUCGGGGAGCAAAAGCCGGACGUGUCCGCUUGUGAGAGUUCUCGAAGAAAAAGCAUCGGCUAACUCCGUGCCAGCAGCCGCGGUAAUACGGGGGAUGCGAGCGUUAUCCGGAUUUUUUGGGUUUAAGGGGUGUGCAGGCGGAUUUUUAAGUUAGCGGGAAAAUCGCGGGGCUCAACCCCGUCCAGCCGGUGAAACUGGCGAUCUAGAGUGUGCGAGAGGUAGGCGGAAUGCGUGGUGUAGCGGUGAAAUGCAUAGAGAUCACGCAGAACCCCGAUGGCGAAGGCAGCAUACCGGUGCACAACUGACGCUCAGGCACGAAAGCGUGGGUAUCGAACAGGAUUAGAUACCCUUGUAGUC